rnacentral:rRNA from 1 species
ACCUUCGGGUGCGAGUAAAGUGGCGGACGGGUGAGUAACGCGUGGGAAUCUGCCUAGUAGUGGGGGACAACAAUCGGAAACGGUUGCUAAUACCGCAUACGCCCUACGGGGGAAAGGCUUCGGCCGCUAUUAGAUGAGCCCGCGUAAGAUUAGCUUGUUGGUGGGGUAAUGGCCUACCAAGGCAACGAUCUUUAGCUGGUCUGAGAGGACGAUCAGCCACACUGGGACUGAGACACGGCCCAG